CCUUGUAGUAUGUACUCCUUGCUGAACAAUUAAUGCUUCACUAUUGACUCCGUUGAGUAUUUGAUUUAAGGAGAAUAAUAUUGAUGAGCGGGCAUGGGGAUUCAACAGGAGUUCGUUCACGGGGCGGAGCCAUCGGAUGUCAAUGGGUGACAAUGGUGAUGCAAUCGGAUGAUGGGGAUGAGGAUUUCUUGCAAGAAUGCCCUGUGAAAGAUAUUGAGGGCAUAUCAAUGCUCCUUUGUACAUUGUCGCAGUGGUGUUAAUGAAUGGGCAGUGGUGGUGGAGAUGAUUAAGUGCCAUUGAGAUCAAGAUCGAGAUAGAUUGAGAUAGAAACAGGGAGAUGAAUGGCGGCGAACGAAUCAGCUGUCGGAGAUAUUGAGAUAGAUUGAGAUAGAAACAGGGAGAUUAAUGGCUGCGAACGAAUCAGCUGUCGGAGAUUAAUCUUCAGAAUAUCGUCCGGAUGCAUGACGUUAUUGAGAUUGAGGCAUAUCAAUGCUCCUUUGGACAUUGUUGCAGUGGUGUUAUUGAAUGGGCAUUGGUGGUGGAGAUGAAAAGUGCCAUUGAGAUGAAGAUCGAGAUAGAAACAGGGAGAUUCAUGACGGCAAACGAAUAAGCAGUUGGAGAUUAAUCAUCAGAAUAUCGUCUGGAUGCAUGUUGUUAUUAAGGUGAGUUCAGAUGGGCCACCGAUUCCACUCUUUCUUAGUUUGUUUUGUUUUAUUGGAGUAAAAUUUUGAGUGUUUCUUCUUUGUCAUGGUUAGUAGAUGAAAUGUGAGGAUGGUGCGUGAUUGGUAAAAUAGUUUGGGAUGUGUUCAUUCGUUGUUGUUUGGCUUUCUCAUAGAAGAAUUGUUAUUGGUUUUUGAGAUGUCACUCAGAGUUGAAUAAUGAGCGUGUGAUUAGGUGGCUGCAAGCAGCAGGGAUUGAAUUUCUUUUGGUAUAACUGUCAUGCUUGUUUAAGGAUGAUUACAAAUAGCACAAUGUGGUUGUGGGUUUUGUGAAAUACCUGAUCGCUAGAUUGAGGAUGAAUGUUCUCGUUAGAGAUUUUAUUAUGAAACGAGACUCUGGCUUUUGGAAAUCAACAACUUGCAAUGAAGGCCU